rnacentral:rRNA from 2 species
GAACGCUGGCGGCGUGCCUAAUACAUGCAAGUCGAGCGGACCGACGGGAGCUUGCUCCCUUAGGUCAGCGGCGGACGGGUGAGUAACACGUGGGUAACCUGCCUGUAAGACUGGGAUAACUCCGGGAAACCGGGGCUAAUACCGGAUGCUUGAUUGAACCGCAUGGUUCAAUCAUAAAAGGUGGCUUUUAGCUACCACUUACAGAUGGACCCGCGGCGCAUUAGCUAGUUGGUGAGGUAACGGCUCACCAAGGCGACGAUGCGUAGCCGACCUGAGAGGGUGAUCGGCCACACUGGGACUGAGACACGGCCCAGACUCCUACGGGAGGCAGCAGUAGGGAAUCUUCCGCAAUGGACGAAAGUCUGACGGAGCAACGCCGCGUGAGUGAUGAAGGUUUUCGGAUCGUAAAACUCUGUUGUUAGGGAAGAACAAGUACCGUUCGAAUAGGGCGGUACCUUGACGGUACCUAACCAGAAAGCCACGGCUAACUACGUGCCAGCAGCCGCGGUAAUACGUAGGUGGCAAGCGUUGUCCGGAAUUAUUGGGCGUAAAGCGCGCGCAGGCGGUUUCUUAAGUCUGAUGUGAAAGCCCCCGGCUCAACCGGGGAGGGUCAUUGGAAACUGGGGAACUUGAGUGCAGAAGAGGAGAGUGGAAUUCCACGUGUAGCGGUGAAAUGCGUAGAGAUGUGGAGGAACACCAGUGGCGAAGGCGACUCUCUGGUCUGUAACUGACGCUGAGGCGCGAAAGCGUGGGGAGCGAACAGGAUUAGAUACCCUGGUAGUCCACGCCGUAAACGAUGAGUGCUAAGUGUUAGAGGGUUUCCGCCCUUUAGUGCUGCAGCAAACGCAUUAAGCACUCCGC